CAGUAGCCACGGUAAUACGUAGGGCGCAAGCGUUGUCCGGAAUUAUUGGGCGUAAAGAGCUCGUAGGCGGUCUGUCGCGUCUGGUGUGAAAUCCCGAGGCUCAACCUCGGGCUUGCAUCGGGUACGGGCAGACUAGAGUGCGGUAGGGGAGACUGGAAUUCCUGGUGUAGCGGUGGAAUGCGCAGAUAUCAGGAGGAACACCGAUGGCGAAGGCAGGUCUCUGGGCCGCAACUGACGCUGAGGAGCGAAAGCGUGGGGAGCGAACAGGAUUAGAUACCCCGGUAGUCCCUGUCUCUUAUAC
rnacentral:rRNA from 1 species